rnacentral:lncRNA from 1 species
AAAUAUGUUCAAGAACACAUAACAUGUUCAAGAACACAUAACAUGUUCAAAUAACAAGUUCAAAUCAAAAUAAAUUAGCAAAAAGUCUUUUAAACUUUAACAAAACUACAAAAACAAUAAACAUCAAUCAACUCCCAAAUCCCAAUUACUCAUCAGCUGCAUGUUCUUGUUGAACUACUAUUGGCCUACCAAAUUCUACAUUAACAAAUCAAAACAACAUUUUAUUACCUCUAAUUUUAAUCUCGAACAAACUGAUAAAAGGAAUACAAAGUUUAUUCAACAGUAUUGUGCAUUAACAAAGCAUAUAGAUAAAAGGAUUAAGAAAUGGAGAAGAAUUGCUGAGAAUGCAAGUCUGGCUAAUGGGCAUCAUUUAUAGCAUCAUACAUAAUUUAUUUAUGCAAGUCUGCAAAUUCUUAUUGACGGGCCCCUUGGGAUCCUCUUGGCUAUUUUGGCUAUAGCUUUUUUUUAUCCUCUUGCAUUUACCCUAAAUUCGCCCCGCAGCCGAUUCCCGAAAACGCCCUGUUGACGGGCCCUUAGAGCCAACGAAUGAAUGGUACGCUAUAGCCAAAAUAGCUGGGAUUAAGAUAUGCCGGGCUUAUCAGAUUCAGUAAAAAUUCAAUGCAAUUUCUGAGAUUCUCACGAAUUUAUAUGGCCCCAAUGAUAACAAAAUAUUUUAGCUAUAGCUUUUUAAAUUCAUAAAACCUUGUUCUGCUGAGAGUUGUUGGUGACAGUGGCAGCAUCAGCAGAUGACAGCGGCUGCAGCACAUGGUAACAGCGGUGGAGACUCGGCGAUGAGCAGCAGUGACGGGCAGCAGCGACGGGUAGCAGCGACAAGCAGCAUCGACGAGCAGCGGCAGCGACGAGCAACGGGGACGAGAUUACAGCGCCUGAAGGUCACGAUUUCGGUUUCAGCUGAAGAUCAGAACUCAGAAGUGGUCACGAUUUAGGUUGAUGAUCAGAACUCAGAAGAAGUGGUCACGAUUUAGUUUAGAGUGUUUAGACUUUACUCACUUUAGGGAUUCCGGUUGUUAUUCGGUUUAUUUGAUAAUCGGUUCGGUUUUUUGGUUUUUUUCUUUAAAACCGAAAAUCGAACCGACUGGUUUUACUAUUAUUACUAUAUUACUUAUUCGGUUUUUUGGGUGUAAAAAAACCGCAAAAAAAUCGAACCGAACCGAACCGUUAGGUUCGGUUUUUAAUUAAUCAGCUUUUUUUGCCCACCCCUACAUAUAACACGUACAAUUUCUACAUUAUUGGACAUAAUUU